AUUGAACGCUGGCGGAAUGCUUUACACAUGCAAGUCGAACGGCAGCACGGGGCAACCUGGUGGCGAGUGGCGAACGGGUGAGUAAUAUAUCGGAACGUGCCCAAUCGUGGGGGAUAACGUAGCGAAAGUUACGCUAAUACCGCAUACGAUCUACGGAUGAAAGCGGGGGAUCGCAAGACCUCGCGCGAAUGGAGCGGCCGAUAUCAGAUUAGGUAGUUGGUGGGGUAAAGGCUCACCAAGCCAACGAUCUGUAGCUGGUCUGAGAGGACGACCAGCCACACUGGAACUGAGACACGGUCCAGACUCCUACGGGAGGCAGCAGUGGGGAAUUUUGGACAAUGGGCGCAAGCCUGAUCCAGCCAUGCCGCGUGAGUGAAGAAGGCC
rnacentral:rRNA from 1 species